rnacentral:tRNA from 1 species
UCCUCGGUGGCUCAGGCGGUAGCGCGCUAGCCCUAUAGGCAAGAGGUCGUGGGUUCGACUCCCACCCUGGCAA